UACGUAGGGUGCAAGCGUUGUCCGGAAUUAUUGGGCGUAAAGAGCUCGUAGGCGGUUUGUCGCGUCGAAUGUGAAAACCCGGGGCUCAACCCCGGGCCUGCAUUCGAUACGGGCAGACUAGAGUUCGGUAGGGGAGUCUGGAAUUCCUGGUGUAGCGGUGAAAUGCGCAGAUAUCAGGAGGAACACCGGUGGCGAAGGCGGGACUCUGGGCCGAUACUGACGCUGAGGAGCGAAAGCGUGGGGAGCAAACCGG
rnacentral:rRNA from 1 species